AACGAACGCUGGCGGCAUGCCUAACACAUGCAAGUCGAACGCUCCGCAAGGGGAGUGGCGAACGGGUGAGUAACGCGUGGGAACCUGCCCAGUAGUUGGGAUAACCGCGGGAAACUGCGGCUAAUACCGAAUACGCCCUAAGGGGGAAAGAUUUAUCGCUAUUGGAGGGGCCCGCGUCGGAUUAGCUGGUUGGUGAGGUAACGGCUCACCAAGGCGACGAUCCGUAGCUGGUCUGAGAGGAGAUCAGCCACACUGGGACUUAGACACGGCCCAGACUCCUACGGGAGGCAGCAGUGGGGAAUAUUGGACAAUGGGGCAACCUGAUCCAGCAAUGCCGCGUGAG
rnacentral:rRNA from 1 species